AAAGCGGCCGCCUUUAAAGUGGAGCGAGCCGGACACUUCGACAAAUUACCUCGAGAUCAUACAACGCAGACUGAUGACGGCUACUAUCUUCUCUUCGAGUCUCCAGGCACCAAGGGAAACGAAACAUCGCUUUCGUUGCGAGAGCCUCGGCUCUACCAGUGCGUGUCGUUCUGGUACUUCUUGCCUAAAAUCCA
rnacentral:lncRNA from 1 species